CAGCUAACGCGUGAAGUUGACCGCCUGGGGAGUACGGUCGCAAGAUUAAAACUCAAAGGAAUUGACGGGGACCCGCACAAGCGGUGGAUGAUGUGGAUUAAUUCGAUGCAACGCGAAAAACCUUACCUACCCUUGACAUGUCUGGAAUUCCGAAGAGAUUUGGAAGUGCUCGCAAGAGAACCGGAACACAGGUGCUGCAUGGCUGUCGUCAGCUCGUGUCGUGAGAUGUUGGGUUAAGUCCCGCAACGAGCGCAACCCUUGUCAUUAGUUGCUACGAAAGGGCACUCUAAUGAGACUGCCGGUGACAAACCGGAGGAAGGUGGGGAUGACGUCAAGUCCUCAUGGCCCUUAUGGGUAGGGCUUCACACGUCAUACAAUGGUCGGGACAGAGGGUCGCCAACCCGCGAGGGGGAGCCAAUCCCAGAAACCCGAUCGUAGUCCGGAUCGCAGUCUGCAACUCGACUGCGUGAAGUCGGAAUCGCUAGUAAUCGCGGAUCAGCAUGUCGCGGUGAAUACGUUCCCGGGUCUUGUACACACCGCCCGUCACACCAUGGGAGUGGGUUUUACCAGAAGUAGUUAGCCUAACCGCAAGGGGGGCGAUUACCACGGUAGGAUUCAUGACUGGGGUGAAGUCGUAACAAGGUAGCCGUAAAGGG
rnacentral:rRNA from 1 species